AAGCUCCUUCGGGAGUGAGUAGAGUGGCGAACGGGUGAGUAACGCGUAAGAAUUUGCCUUUCAGUGAAGGAUACCUUCGAGAAAUCGAGGUUAAUACUGCAUACGUCCAAGCUUUGCUUGGAGAAAGAUGGCCUCUUGCUGUCGCUGAAAGAUGAGCUUGCGUCCUAUUAGCUUGUUGGUGGGGUAAAGGCCUACCAAGGCGAAGAUGGGUAGCCGGCCUGAGAGGGUGUACGGCCACAUUGGGACUGAGAUACGGCCCAGACUCCUACGGGAGGCAGCAGUGGGGAAUAUUGCGCAAUGGGGGAAACCCUGACGCAGCAACGCCGCGUGAGUGAGGAAGGUCUUCGGAUUGUAAAGCUCUGUCGGGUGGAAAGAAAGGCAAGGAGGCUAAUACCCUUUUUGCUUGACGGUACCACCAAAGGAAGCACCGGCUAACUCCGUGCCAGCAGCCGCGGUAAUACGGGGGGUGCAAGCGUUGUUCGGAAUUAUUGGGCGUAAAGAGCGUGUAGGCGGCAUGAUAAGUCAGAUGUGAAAGCCCUGGGCUUAACCCAGGAAGUGCAUUUGAAACUGUCAUGCUAGAGUAAGGGAGGGGGAAGUGGAAUUCCUGGUGUAGAGGUGAAAUUCGUAGAUAUCAGGAGGAACACCGGUGGCGAAGGCGACUUCCUGGCCCUAUACUGACGCUGAGACGCGAGAGCGUGGGUAGCAAACAGGAUUAGAUACCCUGGUAGUCCACGCCGUAAACGAUGUUCACUAGGUGUUGGGGGUAUUGACCCCCUCAGUGCCGGAGCUAACGCAUUAAGU
rnacentral:rRNA from 1 species